rnacentral:rRNA from 1 species
AACGAACGCUGGCGGCGUGCCUAAUACAUGCAAGUCGAACGAGAAAGUGUCUUCGGACAUUAGUAAAGUGGCAGACGGGUGAGUAAUACAUAGGUAACUUACCCUCAAGUUGGGGAUAACUUUCCGAAAGGAGAGCUAAUACCAAAUAAGACCACAGUUGCUUCGGCAACAGGGGAAAAAGAUGGCCUCCACUUGUAAGCUAUCGCUUGAGGAUAGGCUUAUGCACCAUUAGCUAGUUGGUGAGGUAAUGGCUCACCAAAGCUAUGAUGGUUAGCUGAUCUGAGAGGUUGAUCAGCCACACUGGAACUGAGACACGGUCCAGACUCCUACGGGAGGCAGCAGUAGGGAAUAUUGCGCAAUGGAGGAAACUCUGACGCGGCGACGCCGCGUGGGUGAUGAAGGCCUUCGGGUCGUAAAGCCCUGUCGGAAGGGAAGAAAAAUAAUUUGGCUAACAUCCAAGUUACUUGACGGUACCUUCAAAGGAAGCACCGGCUAACUACGUGCCAGCAGCCGCGGUAA